rnacentral:rRNA from 1 species
UGCGUAGGGUGCGAGCGUUGUCCGGAAUUAUUGGGCGUAAAGAGCUCGUAGGCGGUGUGUCGCGUCGGCCGUGAAAACCUGCAGCUUAACUGUGGGCUUGCGGUCGAUACGGGCAUCACUGGAGUUCGGCAGGGGAGACUGGAAUUCCUGGUGUAGCGGUGAAAUGCGCAGAUAUCAGGAGGAACACCGGUGGCGAAGGCGGGUCUCUGGGCCGAUACUGACGCUGAGGAGCGAAAGCGUGGGGAGCGAACAGG